rnacentral:rRNA from 1 species
AACGAACGCUGGCGGCGUGCUUAACACAUGCAAGUCGAACGUGAAAGUCCUUCGGGAUGAGUAAAGUGGCGCACGGGUGAGUAAUGCAUAGGAACGUGCCUAAUGGUGGGGAACAACUAUGGGAAACUAUAGCUAAUACCGCAUGAUAUCGUGAGAUCAAAGGGGGCCUCUCCUUGGAAGCUCUCGCCAUUAGAUCGGCCUAUGUCCUAUUAGCUAGUUGGUAGGGUAACGGCCUACCAAGGCGAUGAUGGGUAACUGGUCUGAGAGGAUGAUCAGUCACACUGGAACUGAGACACGGUCCAGACUCCUACGGGAGGCAGCAGUGGGGAAUCUUGCACAAUGGGCGAAAGCCUGAUGCAGCAACGCCGCGUGGGUGAAGAAGGUUCUUGGAUUGUAAAGCCCUUUCGGCUGGAAAGAAGGGUCUUGUAGCUAAUAACUGCAGGAUCUGACGGUACCAGAAGAAGAAGCACCGGCUAAUCUCGUGCCAGCCGCCGCGGUAAAAC